rnacentral:rRNA from 1 species
GACGUAGGGGGCAAGCGUUAUUCGGAAUCAUUGGGCGUAAAGCGCUCGUAGGCGGAUCGGACAGUCGGUGAAGAAAGACCCGGGCUCAACUCGGGGAACGGCACCGAUACUAUCGAUCUUGAGGCAAUCAGAGGGUGAUGGAAUUCCCGGUGUAGAGGUGAAAUUCGUAGAUAUUGGGAAGAACACCGGUGGCGAAGGCGGCUCUCUGGACCGACACUGACGCUGAGGCGGCGAAAAGCGUGG